rnacentral:rRNA from 1 species
GGGCUCCUCGGGACGCAGCAGUGAGGAAUAUUGGUCAAUGGGCGGAAGCCUGAACCAGCCAAGUCGCGUGAGGGGAUAAGGCCCUACGGGUCGUAAACCUCUUUUGCCGGGGAGCAAGGGCCGGGACGCGUCCCGGCCCGGAGAGUACCCGGAGAAAAAGCAUCGGCUAACUCCGUGCCAGCAGCCGCGGUAAUACGGAGGAUGCGAGCGUUAUCCGGAUUUAUUGGGUUUAAAGGGUGCGUAGGCGGGCUUUUAAGUCAGCGGUACAAAUUCGGGGCUCAACCCC